GGAGAACUCCGGUCAAUUUCAAAAAGUAGCUCUGUUGUUGAAAUGUGGAGUGCUGCAGUAGCGAGAAAAACGACAACAAUCAGUGCUUCUGUCAGAUUCACUGUGAUCCCUCUGAAGGAAUCACUGAACAUAGGUAGACAAUUGUAAAGACAUUUUGAACAUGUUUGAGCCU